CUCCCUUCUCCUUCUUCCCUCCCCCACACCCCCAAACCUCUCGCGCUCGCUAAGGGUUUUCGGUACCCCUUCCCCCCCUGCGCUUCCUCCGGCGACUCCUCGCCAUGGCCUCCGGAGCCCUAGAGGCCGCAGAGCCCGAAGGGGCGGCGGCUCCUCCCCCCCGUCGAGGGCAAGGAGGAGCUCCCCGAGAAAUUAGAGGCGGAGGAGGCGGAGCAAGAGGACCGAGAGAUCGCCGCUCCGGAUGAGGAGGCCGAGGCUUCCGACGAGGAGGCUCUGCUGGUCGCCGCCGAGGCCCCGCCGGCUGCGUCGCCUCCGAGAGGCCAUGCCCGUGAUGUCCAUAUCCUGAGUUGUGGGUUCCUGCUCAUCUUCUCGGCCUACGGUGCUGCUCAGAAUCUCGAGAGCACCGUGAACACCGCGGAUAAUUUGGGCACGACAGGCAACGCAAGUAAAGAAGAAAGGCAGAUAGGCAACGCAACAAAGAGAUAUAGAAUCUACAGUAGAGAACAUUAGUGAUUUGGGGGAUGAUCAAAGCCAUCGUGUGGGGAAGUCGCUUUUACACUCAGUGAAGUGGGAGCGCAUUAUUUUGGAUGAGGCUCACUUUGUCAAAGAUAGGCGAUGUAAUACUGCAAAAGCAGUUCUCGGACUGGAGUCUUCGUACAGAUGGGCUUUAAGUGGAACACCUCUUCAAAAUCGUGUUGGGGAGCUCUACUCUCUUUUCCUCAAAACAAUGUCCUGAAUGCUCUCACAGUUCUGUACGGCACUUUUGUUGGUGGAAUCGAGUGAGUUGCAUUUUCAUUGGUCCUUUGGCCUCUCUCUCUUUUUUUUUUGGGCAAAUCAUAUGGAAUGUUUUCAUUUGAACUCUGAUAUGGAGUAUAUAUUCUAUCUAGUAUAUAGCGAAUCCUAUACAAGCACAUGGAAAUGCCGUUGGCAGAAGGCGAGCAAUGAUAUUACUAAAACACAAUUUUGAAAAACAUUUUGCUGAGACGAGCAAUGAUAUUACUAAAACACAAUUUUGAAAAACAUUUUGCUGAGACGCACAAAAAAGGGAAGAGCUGCUGAUCUUGCACUUCCACCUAGAAUUGUUACUUUGAGGCGGGAUACACUGGACAUUAGAGAAGAGGAUUAUUACACAUCAUUGUACAAUGAGAGCCAAUCUAACCUUGUGCGGUGUGCAUAUUGAUUGGUAUUUCACUUUCUUCUCUGGGCUUGUGGGACUUUGAGUAUCGCAUUGUAUGUCAACAAGUGAAUGUCGCUUCUUUGGAGGAGGUGACGAAGCACUUCAUGCAAACCUUAUAGGAGAAAGCAGAGUGGGCGCAAGAUUGGAAGUAUCUUUUUAUACAUAUCGGGGAUAAGCUUUGCUUCAGCAUCUUCAGUGCCAGAAGUGCAGUUGGCCCAAUAUGUUCCUGCCCUGGAAAGAAUUGCCACCCUGAGGUUGCUUAAGCAAGUGCUUUAAAGUGCUCAAGAUUAUUUAUUCUCUCAUUAUGUGUACUAUAAAGAAAAAUAUAUAUGUCAUUCUUGUGGAAAAUGCAGAUGAACGUAUUUCAUUUUCAUAUUAUUAUAA